rfam:Triticum aestivum genome assembly, contig: Triticum_aestivum_CS42_TGACv1_scaffold_513785_6BS
CAAAAUCUGAGUUUGAUCCUGGCUCAUAAGGAACGCUAGCUAUAUGCUUAACACAUGCAAGUCGAACGUUGUUUUCGGGGAGCUGGACAGAAGGAAAAGAGGCUCCUAGCUAAAGUUGUCUCGCCCUGCUUCAAAACUACAGGGCGCGCGCUACGGCUUUGACCUAACGGCCUCCAUUUGCUGGAAUCGGAAUAGUUGAGAACAAAGUGGCGAACAGGUGCGUAACAUGUGGGAAUCUGUCGAACAGUUCGGGCCAAAUCCUGAAGAAAGCUCAAAAGCGCUGUUUGAUGAGCCUGCGUAGUAUUAGUUAGUUGGUCAGGUAAAGGCUGACCAAGCCAAUGAUGCUCAGCUGGUCUUUUCGGAUGAUCAGCCACACUUUGACUGAGACACGGCCCGGACUCCCACAUGGGGCAGCAAUGGGGAAUCUUGGACAAUGGGCGAAAGCCCGAUCCAGCAAUAUCGCAUGAGUGAAGAAGGGAAAUGCCGCUUGUAAAGCUCUUUCGUCGAGUGCGUGAUCAUGACAGGACUCGAGGAAGAAGCCCCGGCUAACUCCGUGCCAGCAGCCGCGGUAAGACGGGGGGGGGGGGCAAGUGUUCUUCGGAAUGACUGGGCGUAAAGGGCACGCAGGCGGUGAAUCGGGUUGAAAGUGAAAGUCGCCAAAAAGUGGCGGAAUGCUCUCAAAACCAAUUCACUUGAGUGAGACAGAGGAGAGUGGAAUUUCGUGUGUAGGGGUGAAAUCCGUAGAUCUACGAAGGAACGCCAAAAGCGAAGGCAGCUCUCUGGGUCCCUACUAACGCUGGGGUGCGAAAGCAUGGGGAGCGAACAGGAUUAGAUACCCUGGUAGUCCAUGCCGUAAACGAUGAGUGUUCGCCCUUGGUCUACGCGGAUCGGGGGCCCAGCUAACGCGUGAAACACUCCGCCUGGGGAGUACGGUCGCAAGACCGAAACUCAAAGGAAUUGACGGGGGCCUGCACAAGUGGUGGAGCAUGUGGUUUAAUUCGAUACAACGCGCAAAACCUUACCAGCACUUGACAUAUGAACAACAAAACCUGUCCUUAACAGGAUGGUACUGACUUUCAUACAGGUGCUGCAUGGUUGUCGUCAGUUCGUGUCGUGAGAUGUGUGGUCAAGUCCUAUAACGAGCGAAACCCACGUUUUGUGUUGCCGAGACAUGCGCCUAAGGAGAAAUUGCCACCGAGUGACGUGCCAGCACUACUACUUGAUUGAGUGCCAGCACGUAGCUGUGCUUUCAGCAAGAAUUUCACCAUUGGGAGCCGGUGCCUUUCGAAGCACUUUCACGUGUGAACCGAAGUCGUCUUGCCCAAGACCCACGGAGACCUACCUAUAGUGACGUCAAAGUACCAGUGAGCAUGUAGGUUCGGUUGAAAUUGGUUACGACGAUGUCGAGUUGGCGGCGGAGGAAGACUCGGCAUGAAGGCCAGAAAAUGGUGUGGAACGUAGUGGUAAUAGUACGCGCCCCGCUCCGAAACAAAGAAAAAGGUGCGUGCCGCACUCACGAGGGACUGCCAGUGAGAUACUGGAGGAAGGUGGGGAUGAUGUCAAGUCCGCAUGGCCCUUAUGGGCUGGGCCACACACGUGCUACAAUGGCAAUGACAAUGGGAAGCAAGGCUGUAAGGCAGAGCGAAUCCGGAAAGAUUGCCUCAGUUCGGAUUGUUCUCUGCAACUCGGGAACAUGAAGUUGAAAUAGCUAGUAAUCGCGGAUCAGCAUGCCACGGUGAAUAUGUACCCAGGCCCUGUACACACCGCCCGUCACACCCUGGGAAUUGGUUUCGCCCGAAGCAUCAGACCAAUGAUCACCCAUGACUUCUAUGUACCACUAGUGCCACAAAGGCCUUUGGUGGUCUUAUUGGCGCAUACCAUGGUGGGGUCUUCGACUAGGGUGAAGUCGUAACAAGGUAGCCGUAGGGGAACCUGUGGCUGGAUUGAAUCCUUC